AGGAAAUAGAGUAAGGGAUCCUUACUUGAUUCGAUGCCGAAAACUAGAUGGUUACUGCGCCUACGGGCGGUCCUUGGGUUUAAUGAAUUUUCUUUCGAGAACAUAAACACGUUUACGAUACCUACAAGUGUCCCAAAUAACCCAAAAAUCAGACCGAGGACCUACUCAGCCAAUUUUAGAAUUCUGGCACGGCAGCUCCACCGUGCUAAGGCGACGAUGCUGCCGCCCGCAGCAGUGAGUCGCCUCGGGUUGGCUGUUUUCGAUCAUUUUUGGCCGAAUUCAGGCGAACUUACACUGGUUCCUG
rnacentral:lncRNA from 1 species